ensembl:lncRNA
CACUGUCCACCAACAGACACCCAUGAUGAGGGCUGUCAGUUGAUCUGACACUCCCAGUUACUACUGAUUGCUCAUCAUUGUUCUACUUCUACUUCAUAAGGCUUUCCAGCAUCAUGUGUUACCUGCAUCAUCACUGAAUAUUCUCAUGGCCUUCAAAACACAGCUGUGUAUUUAGAGUCUGCUUCUUCAAUGCAUUGCCAUCUCUGCCCCUCUGCCUGCCCUGGGUGCACAGGUGUUAAGCUUGGUACAGACUCUGACUUCGUGUCUAUGAUGUGUUAUCACAAAUAGUUAACCUUGCUCCUUUGGAAGACUGUGGCCAAGACUGCAAGCUUAAAAGAAAACAUUUUGAGAAAAUUAUUAUUAAAAGUCGUCAACAUGCACAAUUUGAGAUGCACCUUGGUAUAAAAGAAUGAUUUCAAAAUGUUGAGGAUAAGUAAAAUUUUGUAGUUAUGUAUGGAUAUGAGAGUUGGACUAUAAAGAAAGCUGAGCACUGAAGAAUUGAUGUUUUUGAACUGUGGUGUUGGAGAAGACUCUUGAGAGUCCCUUGGACUGCAAGGAGAUCCAACCAGUCCAUCCUAAAGGAGAUCAGUCCUGGAUGUUCAUUGGAAGGACUGAUGCUGAAGCUGAAGCUCCAAUACUUUGGCCACCUGAUGCGAAGAACUGACUCAAUGAUUCUGGGAAAGAUUGAAGGCGGGAGGAGAAGGGGGCAACAGAGGAUGAAAUGGUUAGAUGGCGUCACCGACUCGAUGGACAUGAGUUUGAGCAAGCUCCAGGAGUUGGUGAUGGACAGGGAGGCCUGGCGUGCUGCAGUCCAUGGGGUCGCAAAGAGUCGGACACAACCGAACGACUGAACUGAAUGUGAAUAUAGGGCAAUGCAGAAAGCCUUUCCAAAGAGCGGCCUUAAUAGUUUUGAAUUCUACACGUAAUACUAAUGAAGACCUAUGGCUUUAUCUAACUGUGGACAAAAUAGUGUUUUGUACAGAAAUGAGAGUGGAUUCAAGGCGGAAACAGUGGCAGAGAUUAACAGGCUCUGUGGAGCAGUCUAACAUUAUUUCUCAGUAAUCAGUGCAUAACUUAUCUUGUUUAAUACUUGUCACAAAUUAUUGAUGUAUUGUAGUAAAUACAGAGUAAAAUAUCAAAUAUGCUGAUAACAGUAAUUUUUUUUCACCAUUGUCCUGAAUGGUAGGGCUCGGGGUAAGGAGUUUGGUGGUGACCAAAAAGAUGACAGAGGAUUUGAUGAGUGUGGAAAAACCCAAAGCAGAGGGUGGGAGAUACACAGGC